rnacentral:tmRNA from 1 species
GGGGAUGAAGGGUUUUGACAGGGACAGAUGGUCAAGGAUUGCAAGCCGAGGCGCCCUACCCUCGCUAAACAAGGGCAAAUAAAGAUAACAGGCGAACCUCAACUCGCCCUGGCUGCCUAGAGCAGCCACGUCUGACCAGGUCUGCUCCCGAUAGGCCUGGAUCAGAUGCCAUAGAAAUCGGGAUGCGGUGUUCUUGACGCCGAUAUAGAGCAUCAAAGCCAAGGUGUCAAACCUUGAUCGGCUAGCUUAAGCCAGACCUCGUCGGUUGGGGUUGGUUUAGGCGAAAAACAAAAGACCGACUAAGCUUGUAGUAUAUCCUUGGGCGAACUCUCUGGACGCGGGUUCGAUUCCCGCCAUCUCCACCA